rnacentral:lncRNA from 1 species
UCUUUGCAGGGCAGGGAUGUGGCUCCAUGGUGGGAUGCUUGCUAGGAAGCCUCAAGUCCCAGGUUCCGUCCCCAGCACUGGAAAAAAAAUCAUGGUUCCAUUAUCAUUCCUAAAAAUUACUGGUGACACAGUGUUAUCAAAGAGCCAAUUUGUUCAUACAAAUGUAUCCAUUUGUCUGAUUUUUAAAAAAUGUUUUACACAAUUUGUCUGCAUCAGGUUGCAGAGAGGUCAGCACACCUGAGGUUUCUCCUGUGUCUUUUAAGGCUCUCUUGGUCUGUCCCUCUCUCUUCCCCCCUUGCUGCUGUUGUGUUGAAGAAGUCAGGUGGUUUGUCCCAUAGUGUUUCCAGGGUUGAGCACCCGUGGGGUCCUUGAUGUCCUUCCCCCCCCUGGACCUCCUGUGAGUUGGUUGUUAGAUCUCAGGGCUCCAUGAGGUUCAGGCUUGGUGCUUGGCCCAGCAGGCACGUGCUUAGGGAGUUUGGAAGGGGAGGCCUGGCGUACCCCAGUUUGGGGUGGAAAGGUGGGCUGAGGCGUCCCCCUGUGACAGCCACUGUGGUUUAACCAUCCAGAAUCAGCUGGCACUGCUCUUUCCCCCAAGUGCUCUGGUGGGUACUACUUUAAAUACUCG